CAAAGAAAUAACAUUAAAAUAAAAUGUUUUAAUUCUUGAGGAAGUCACAUAAGCAUGCUUGGGCUAGAGUAGUACUGUGAUGGGUGACCUCUCGGGAAGUCUUAGUGUUUUGC
rfam:Picea glauca, whole genome shotgun sequence.